ACAGGCGAUGUAUCCAACACGACACACCUUACCUGCCUCAGACUAUACCUUACAUUUCGCAUUCAAGUGUUCAUGCUACUUGGUCAAUAUGGGAAUGAACAGAGUUGACACCAUUGUUUAUAGUUGUAUCUACAUUCAACUAUUUUUUGCAUCAAUUUGCGUUGGUACCUCGCCAUGCAUGCCUGAAACAAGCCGUUUAGGACGGUACACGGUUAGGGGAGCCGGAGGGUUCUGGUCUGAGGGAAUCCCGAACGGGUACGAGGUUGAAGUAUCAAUCAGUUGUGAUACCGGUGCGGUCCCGCAACAUUCUGUGACGUCACAAUGCUCGAACGGAGUAUGGAUCCCAGCAUGGCCUCGGUGCGAAAAACCUUGUUCGGUCCCGCGAUAUAGGUGGGAUGUUCGUCAGUUUGUAAAUGGAGACGCGAGGAAGCCAGUCAACAUAUAUCAUUCCAACGCUGUCUUACCGGACGGAUCAUUCUUAAUUGCUCGAUGCAAAGAUCCUGGAAAGAAAAUGUUGAUCGGUGAUCAACGACGAACUUGUCAAGGAGGGCAGUGGAUAGGACAAGAACCAGAAUGCCGAGAGAUACAGACCAAAGUGUUAUUCUAUGGCGCCAGUCGUGAGGUAGCUCCCAAUGGGACAGUCGUGGUGUACGUACGUCAAGGAGAUAAGAGACGUCUCGAUGUAGUUUGCAGAAUCACCGACUACAGCACGAAAUUACCUCGGUUGAGAACUCCUCUUGAGAACGAUGGAGAAUUAUGGAGCUGGCGCUGGCCCAGAUCACAUGGCAAACGGCUGAAACCUAUUUCUACCGACUUCUCUGGCAUGUUCACAUGCUCUUGGUCCUCAUAUUCCCACAGCGUUCACGUGCUCUUUAAAGCUGCCGAAUGUGAAGUUCCCGAUUUCACCGAACAUGGAGGAUAUAUAUCAGGACGUCACAUUGGGGACAUUGUUUUAAGUGGUACUACAAUCUCGUUUGGAUGCGGAGACGAUUACCGUCUAGUUGGAUCAAGGACACUCGCAUGUGCCAAUGGCAAAUGGUCAGGAGACCUUCCUUUGUGUAAAAUUAACAAAUGUCCAGAGCUGACAAUACCAAACCAUGCUUUGAUGGAGGGGGUCUAUGGCUAUGGAAGGAAUAUCGGAGAUAUAAGGAUAUUCCACUGCCAACAAGGCUACAUUCUACAAGGGGCAACCAAUAGUCUGGUCUGCCUGGAAAAUGGACAUUGGUCCGCCGAACUACCAACGUGCGAAGAAAUUUCUGUCCAUGAAGAUUCACCCGGUACAAGAUCCUGAUCAUAUUGACUCUCCUCCUGAUGUCACUGAUCUAUUAUCCUCUUCCUUUUCUUGGUAUCUCCCGAACGUUCAAACUGAACCUCCUGCUGAACCAAAUCGCCCUUCACAGCCUGCACUCGAAGACACUCCACUAGACUACUCUUCUUUUGACUCGCUGUAUGCCAG
rnacentral:misc_RNA from 1 species